UACGGGGGGGGGCAAGCGUUGUUCGGAAUUACUGGGCGUAAAGGGUUUGUAGGUGGCCCGCUAAGUCACACGUGAAAUCCCCUCAGCUUAACUGGGGAACUGCGUGUGAGACUGGCAGGCUCGAGGGCAGGAGAGGAACGCGGAAUUCCAGGUGUAGCGGUGAAAUGCGUAGAUAUCUGGAGGAACACCGGUGGCGAAGGCGGCGUUCUGGGACUGUCUCUGACACUGAAGAACGAAAGCCAGGGGAGCAAACGGG
rnacentral:rRNA from 1 species